rnacentral:rRNA from 1 species
UACGUAGGGUGCGAGCGUUAAUCGGAAUUACUGGGCGUAAAGCGUGCGCAGGCGGUUGUGCAAGGCAGAUGUGAAAUCCCCGGGCUUAACCUGGGAACUGCAGUCGAUACUGAUGGACUAGAGUGCGGUAGAGGGUGGCGGAACUCCGGGUGUAGCGGUGAAAUGCGUAGAUAUCCGGAAGAACACCGAUGGCGAAGGCAACCACCUGGGCCUGCACUGACGCUGAGGUACGAAAGCGUGGGGAGCAAACAGG